rnacentral:rRNA from 1 species
UACGAACCGUCCAAACGUUACUCGGAAUCACUGGGCUUAAAGGGUGCGUAGGCCGCGCGGUGGGUGGGAUGUGAAAUCCCCCGGCUCAACCGGGGAAUAGCGUCCCAAACCGCCGUGCUCGAGGGAGACAGAGGUGAGCGGAACUGAUGGUGGAGCGGUGAAAUGCGUUGAUAUCAUCAGGAACACCAGUGGCGAAGGCGGCUCACUGGGUCUUUCCUAACGCUGAGGCACGAAAGCUAGGGGAGCGAACGGG